UACGUAGGGGGCUAGCGUUGUCCGGAAUCAUUGGGCGAAAGAGCGUGUAGGCGGCCCGGUAAGUCCGCUGUGAAAGUCGGGGGCUCAACCCUCGAAUGCCGGUGGAUACUGUCGGGCUAGAGUGCGGAAGAGGCGAGUGGAAUUCCUGGUGUAGCGGUGAAAUGCGCAGAUAUCAGGAGGAACACCAAUUGCGAAGGCAGCUCGCUGGGACGUAACUGACGCUGGAGACGCGAAAGCGUGGGGAGCAAACAGG
rnacentral:rRNA from 1 species